UGGGAAUCUUGCGCAAUGGCGAAAGCCUGACGCAGCCAUGCCGCGUGAAUGAUGAAGGUCUUAGGAUUGUAAAAUUCUUUCACCGGGGACGAUAAUGACGGUACCCGGAGAAGAAGCCCCGGCUAACUUCGUGCCAGCAGCCGCGGUAAUACGAAGGGGGCUAGCGUUGCUCGGGAUUACUGGGCGUAAAGGGAGCGUAGGCGGACAUUUAAGUCAGGGGUGAAAUCCCGGGGCUCAACCUCGGAAUUGCCUUUGAUACUGGGUGUCUUGAGUGUGAGAGAGGUAUGUGGAACUCCGAGUGUAGAGGUGAAAUUCGUAGAUAUUCGGAAGAACACCAGUGGCGAAGGCGACAUACUGGCUCAUUACUGACGCUGAGGCUCGAAAGCGUGGGGAGCAAACAGGAUUAGAUACCCUGGUAGUCCACGCCGUAAACGAUGAUUGCUAGUUGUCGGGAUGCAUGCAUUUCGGUGACGCAGCUAACGCAUUAAGCAAUCCGCCUGGGGAGUACGGUCGCAAGAUUAAACUCAAAUGAAUUGACGGGGUCAUAGCUGUUUCCUG
rnacentral:rRNA from 1 species